AUGAGAAUGUGGGAUUCAGUCAAUCCUACAACCGAUGAUCUUAUUAGCCUAGAUAUGAUACUGAUGGAUGAGCAGGGUGAAUCAAUCCAUGCUACUAUCUGGAAGAAUCUUAUAGAUACUUUUAGAUCAAAAAUCAUUGAGAAAUCAGUUUAUGCAUUCAACAAUUUUAAGGUUGUGGAAUCCACAAAAUAUAGGCCAGUGAGCAAUGAAAUUCAAAUAUUUUUUGCAUACAAUACAAAGGUAAAGGAGAUAAAAGGAUCUUCAGAAGUUUUUCCAGAUUAUUGCUUCGAGUUUGCUACCAUGGACACACUAGAAGAAAGGGCAGAAAAAGAUACACAAUGCUCAAGUAUGUUUACAGUUGUAAUUUUGACUUCCAAAUAA
rnacentral:rRNA from 1 species